rnacentral:misc_RNA from 1 species
UAACAAGUGUUCUACUGCACUUUUUAAACAAGUACUCACCUUGUGUGAAAUGUUUGUGCUGCACGGGUCACGUCAGUGACACGUCAUGCGCAUAAUACCAACUUUUUUAUUGCAAUUUUUUUGUCUGAAGCUAUUUUUGAAUGAAAUAAUUCUAAAUA